GUGUCAGCAGCCGCGGUAAUACGUAGGGUGCGAGCGUUGUGGGGAAUUACUGGGCGUAAAGAGCUCGUAGGUGGAAUGUCGCGUCGUCUGUGAAAGUGCAGCGCUUAACGCUGGGAUUGCAGGCGAUACGGGCUUACUUGAGUGCUGUAGGGGAGACUGGAAUUCCUGGUGUAGCGGUGAAAUGCGCAGAUAUCAGGAGGAACACCAAUGGCGAAGGCAGGUCUCUGGGCAGUUACUGACACUGAGGAGCGAAAGCAUGGGUAGCCAACAGGAUUAGAUACCCCAGUAGUCC
rnacentral:rRNA from 1 species